rnacentral:rRNA from 1 species
ACGCCCGCGACGUACCUAAGGUAUGCAAGUCGAACGAUAUCCGAAAUACUACUUGUAGUUUUUUGGUGACAGUGGCAAACGGCUGAGUAAUGUAUGAGAACUUGCCCCAAAGUUAGGCAUAGCCACGAGAAAUCGUGGGUAAUUCCUAAUGGUCUCUUCGGAGUAAAGCUUUAGCGCUUUGGGAUGGGCUCAUGUCCUAUCAGGUUGAUGGUGGGGUAAUUGCCUACCAUGCCUAUGACGGGUAGCUGGUCUGAGAGGAUGUCCAGCCAGACUGGGACUGCGACACGGCCCAGACUCCUACGGGAGGCAGCAACUAGGAAUCAUGCGCAAUGGACGAAAGUCUGACGCUGUGACGUCGCGUGCUGGAUGAAGGCCCUAGGGUUGUAAACAGCUUUUAUUGGGGAACAAGUUCUGAGUGUACCCAAUGAAUAAGUGCCUGCUAAUCACGUGCCAGAAGCAUCGGUAAUGCGUGAGGCACAAGCGUUAUCCGGAUUUACUGGGCGUAAAGAGAUGCGUAGGCGUCCUAGUAAGUUUCUAGUUAAAUCUUCCUGCUCAACGGGAAACAAGCUAGAAAAACUAUUAGGAUUGAGUUUGGUAGAGAAGGGGGGAAUUCCUGGUGGAGCGGUUAAAUGCGUUGAUAUCAGGAGGAACACCAAAUGCGAAGGCACCCCUUUGGACCAAUACUGACGCUAAGGCUCGAAAGCGUGGGGAGCAAAACGGAUUAGAUACCCGUGUAGUCCACGCCGUAAACUAUCCCUGCUAGAU